rnacentral:rRNA from 1 species
CAACAUUUGAUGGGAUAGUUCGAGUGCGGUCUAUACAUGCAGUCGAGCGAAGAUUUAAAAGCUUGCUUUUGAAUCUUAGCGGCGGACGGGUGAGUAACACGUGGGCAACCUGCCUGUAAGACUGGGAUAACUUCGGGAAACCGGAGCUAAUACCGGAUAAUGCUUCUUCUCACAUGAGAGGAAGCUGAAAGAUGGCUUCGGCUAUCACUUACAGAUGGGCCCGCGGCGCAUUAGCUAGUUGGUGAGGUAACGGCUCACCAAGGCGACGAUGCGUAGCCGACCUGAGAGGGUGAUCGGCCACACUGGGACUGAGACACGGCCCAGACUCCUACGGGAGGCAGCAGUAGGGAAUCUUCCGCAAUGGACGAAAGUCUGACGGAGCAACGCCGCGUGAGUGAUGAAGGUUUUCGGAUCGUAAAACUCUGUUGUUAGGGAAGAACAAGUACCGUUCGAAUAGGGCGGUACCUUGACGGUACCUAACCAGAAAGCCACGGCUAACUACGUGCCAGCAGCCGCGGUAAUACGUACGUGGCAAGCGUUGUCCGGAAUUAUUGGGCGUAAAGCGCGCGCAGGUGGUCUCUUAAGUCUGAUGUGAAAGCCCCCGGCUCAACCGGGGAGGGUCAUUGGAAACUGGGAGACUUGAGUGCAGAGAGAAGAGUGGAAUUCCACGUGUAGCGGUGAAAUGCGUAGAGAUGUGGGAGGAACACCAGUGGGCGAAUGCGACUCUUGGCCUGUAACUGACACUGAGCGCGAAAGCGUGGGGAGCAAACAGAUUAGAUACCCUGGUAGUCCACGCCGUAAACGAUGAGUGCUAGUGUUAGAAGGGUUUCCGCCCUUUAGUGCUGCAGCAAACGCAUUAAGCACUCCGGCCUGGGGGAGUACGGCGCAAGCUGAAACUCAAAGAAUGGACGGGGCCGCACAGCGGUGGAGCAUGUGGAUUUAUUCGAAGCACGCGGAGACCUAACAGUCUGACAUCUCUGACAUCCUAAAGAAUCGGCGCCCAUCCGGGGACGAUGAACGUGGGCCAUGGAUGUCUCACUCGUUCCUGGAGUUAGUAGGUCACGCACAGAGUCA